CGCCCGUGACAGGGAAGGGAACACGCACCCGCGAAUGCCACGCCCGUUUGCUCCUCGCUUCCGCCUCACUCAAACGGCUUCUUCCCUCCUAUAAACCCAUAUCAGCACCAACCGCUCCAAUGGCGGAAUUCCCCAAGCCCGCGCCACCGCCCACCUCCGCCGAACCCGAGCUCCCCGCGCCCCGCCGCACCCACUGACCCAACCCACGCCGCGCCGCGCGCCGUGCCCUAGAUCGGGAGAUCGGGGGGAGAAGAAGGACCCGCUCGCCUCGGCAGACCGCCCCGCGGCGCGAUGGUGGAGACGUCGGGCGGGAGGUGGAGGCUGCACCUCCACGGCCAGCGGCGGAGCGCGGCCGCCUUCCUGGCCGCCAACAAGACCCUGCUCGCCGCCGUGUGGGUCGCCGGGUUCGCGCUCGUCUUCCUGUGGCAGAGCGCCUCCGUGUUCGUCGCCGGGGGCGGGGGCGGGCCCCGCCCGGCGCCCGCGCCGUCGCGCCCGGCGCCGCGGCUGCGCCCGAUGGCGUACAACCUGACCGACUUCGGGGGCGUCGGGGACGGGCGGGCGGUGAACACCCGGGCCUUCGAGCGCGCCGUCGAGACCAUCUCGGCGUUCGCGGACAGCGGCGGGGCGCAGCUCAAUGUGCCGCCCGGCCGCUGGCUCACGGGCCCCUUCAACCUCACCAGCCACAUGACGCUGUUCCUCGCCGAGGGCGCCGAGAUCCUCGGCAUUACGGACGAGAAAGUUUGGCCGUUGAUGCCAGCACUGCCAUCUUAUGGGUAUGGGAGGGAGCGCAAAGGACCUCGUUUCGGGAGUCUAAUUCAUGGACAGAAUUUGAAAGAUGUUGUCAUUACAGGAUACAAUGGUAGCAUAAAUGGCCAGGGUGAAGUUUGGUGGUUGAAGCAUCGCAGAAGAAUGCUGAAGAACACAAGGCCUCCACUUGUACAACUGAUGUGGUCUAUGGACAUUGUUAUUACAAAUAUAACGUUGCGGAAUUCACCUUUCUGGCACUUCCACCCAUAUGACUGCACGAAUGUUACUGUUUCAGAUGUUACAAUCUUAGCUCCUAUUUCUGGUGCUCCAAACACAGAUGGCAUAGAUCCAGAUUCUUGUGAGGAUGUCCUAAUUGAGAAUUGCUACAUAUCUGUUGGUGAUGAUGCAAUUGCUAUAAAGAGCGGGUGGGAUCAAUAUGGGAUUGCAUAUGGGCGGCCGUCUUCUAACAUCUUAAUACGCAAUGUGACAGUCCGAUCUUUGGUUAGUGCUGGAAUUUCAAUUGGCAGUGAGAUGUCUGGUGGAGUUGCAAAUGUUACGGUGGAGAAUGUACGCAUCUGGGAUUCAAGGCGAGGCGUGAGAAUAAAGACUGCGAUAGGAAGAGGAGGCUACAUCCGCAAUAUCUCCUACAGCAACAUAACAUUCGACAAUGUUCGUGCUGCAAUUGUGAUAAAGGUUGACUACAAUGAGCAUGCUGAUGAUGGGUAUGACAGAAAUGCCUUCCCAGAUAUUACAGGCAUAUCAUUCAGAAAAAUACAUGGGUGGGGUGUUCGUGUGCCUGUCCGUGCUCAUGGCAGCAAUUAUAUCCCCAUCAAGGAUAUCACCUUUCAAGACAUGUCAGUAGGCAUCAGCUACAAGAAGAAGCAUAUAUUCCAAUGCUCCUACAUAGAAGGGCGUGUUAUCGGGUCAGUGUUUCCAAAACCAUGUGAGAAUUUGGACGUGUACGAUGAGCAAGGGCAGCUUGUCAAGCGUGGGGCAGUGCUCAACAGCACAGAAGUUGAUUAUGAUAUAUGAGACACAUACAGUAUAUCACUGAUAGAUUUUCAAUAGUGUAAAUUAGGUACUAUCAUUUUUAUAUUUUAAUCUUUUGCCUUUUUGUUGUAGAACUGUAAAUACAGAGGAGAUUCUCUUCUUCAUAGGUUUGCCUACAUUGGCUCGUUUGUAUCUCACCAAUUAUUUGGCUACCAUUGACAUUUUGUUCUUGCAAAAGUCACAGGAACAACCGCUUAAUCUUGCGGGUGUCAAUGUGGUGCCAAUUUUUCUUAUAGCAACUAGUUCGGACCUUCCUUGCAUGUCCAUUUUCAACUAGGAGGAAGUUGCAGAAGUGGAAGCCGCAAGGCAACAUGACAGGAAAAUCAGGGAAGGCAGAUAAAGCGAAAGCCGUGAUAAAGAGGAAGUCAAUCUGAAGCAGAACUGGAACCGGGGAAGUAAUCUCGCGCUCUCCCAGCCAGCCUACUGACUUGGUCUCUGGAUCAAUUACUGCCUCAUGCUCGACAACUGAAAGCAUGACGUGCUGUACCGGUGAUUCCCCUAUAUUGUUGACUUUUCAGAAUAUGCGGCUCCCAUCAGUUGAGUUCCUCGUCUCGCUGACACGUGGGCCCGGCCAGACAUGAGAGCGGCAUGUUCUGAAGGUCAGCUUACAUGACUGGCAUAUGUUUUGGACAACACUUAUUUAUCCUGCCACUGUUGUUUGAUAAGCUGAUGAUGACCCACACUAUAUGCAUGUUGAACUGGAGUGAUGUUGUGUUCACUAUUAUUAAUCAGGGCAACCAACCAUGCAUGUAGCUAGAGGUUAGAGGAGUAGUGUAGGACCCCACCCAAAGGCCAUACACGCACGCCGCCCACGUGGAUUAUAUCCGCAGUAUCAAGUGCAGUGCAGAGUGUUGGUUGCCAAGCCAACCGAAGGACAAAAGUACAGUACUGAAGAAGAUUCAACUCAUUAUUCUAUAGAGAGAUCGACCUUCAAUAUUAUAAUCCCCCUAAAGAAAAGGAAAAUUGAAGUUUUCCUUUCCUGCCUCCAGGGUUCAGCCACUACACAUGGAGUUCUGCGUGGGCCCUUUGCUACAAAAAUUCACAAAUUCGGCAGAAAUACUGCCAUGGAUGAACUUCAGCUUGUUUGUACUCUCUCCAUUCCUAAAUAUAUAUUUUUUUAGAGAUUUCAA